rnacentral:rRNA from 1 species
GAUGAACGCUAGCGGCAGGCCUAACACAUGCAAGUCGAGGGGCAGCAUAAAAAUAGCUUGCUAUUUUGGUGGCGACCGGCGCACGGGUGAGUAACGCGUAUGCAACCUACCUUGUACAGGGGGGAUAGCCCGGAGAAAUUCGGAUUAAUACCCCAUAGUAUUAUUAGAUAGCAUUAUUUGAUAAUUAAAGCUUUGGCGGUACAAGAUGGGCAUGCGUCCUAUUAGCUAGAUGGUAAGGUAACGGCUUACCAUGGCUACGAUAGGUAGGGGGCCUGAGAGGGUGGUCCCCCACACUGGUACUGAGACACGGACCAGACUCCUACGGGAGGCAGCAGUGAGGAAUAUUGGUCAAUGGGCGCAAGCCUGAACCAGCCAUGCCGCGUGAAGGAUGAAGGUUCUAUGGAUUGUAAACUUCUUUUAUUUGGGAAUAAACCUCUUUACGUGUAGAGAGCUGAAGGUACCAAAUGAAUAAGCACCGGCUAACUCCGUGCCAGCAGCCGCGGUAAAGU